GACGUAGGGUGCGAGCGUUGUCCGGAAUCAUUGGGCGUAAAGAGCGUGUAGGCGGCUCGAUAAGUCUGCUGUGAAAGUCCAGGGCUCAACCCUGGAAGGCCGGUGGAAACUGUCGGGCUAGAGUCCGGAAGAGGCGAGCGGAAUUCCCGGUGUAGCGGUGAAAUGCGCAGAUAUCGGGAGGAACACCAAUGGCGAAGGCAGCUCGCUGGGAUGGUACUGACGCUGAGACGCGAAAGCGUGGGGAGCAAACAGG
rnacentral:rRNA from 1 species